AAAAAAAAAAUGGGGGAUAACGUCCGGAAACGGGCGCUAAUACCGCAUACGUCCUGAGGGAGGAAGUGGGGGAUCUUCGGACCUCACGCUAUCAGACUAGCCUAGGUCGGAUUAGCUAGUUGGUGGGGUAAAGGCCUACCACGGCGACGAUCCGUAACUGGUCUGAGAGGAUGAUCAGUCACAAUGGCACUGAGACACGGUACAGAAACAUACGGGAGGAAGCAGUGGGGAAUAUUGGACAUGAGGCGACAGCCUGAUCCAGCCAUGCCUCGUGUGUGAAGAAAGACGGCGACUUCCAAAGUAUACACAAGGGG
rnacentral:rRNA from 1 species